rnacentral:rRNA from 1 species
ACCUGACCGAGCGACGCCGCGUGCGGGAUGAAGGCCCUCGGGUUGUAAACCGCUGUCGUAGGGGAGGAAGGCUCCGUGAAGAGCGGGGUUUGACCUAUCCUAGGAGGAAGUACGGGCUAAGUUCGUGCCAGCAGCCGCGGUAAUACGAACCGUACAAACGUUAUUCGGAAUCACUGGGCUUAAAGGGUGCGUAGGCGGCCAUGUAAGUGAGAUGUGAAAUCCCUCGGCUCAACCGAGGAAGUGCCUUUCAUACUGCAUGGCUUGAGGGAGACAGGGGUAAGCGGAACUGAUGGUGGAGCGGUGAAAUGCGUUGAUAUCAUCAGGAACACCGGUGGCGAAAGCGGCUUACUGGGUCUCUUCUGACGCUGAGGUACGAAAGCUAGGGGAGCGAACGGGAUUAGAUACCCCGGUAGUCCUAGCUGUAAACGAUGAGCACUUAUCUGGGGAUCCUCCCAUAGGUUCCCGGAUGUAGCGAAAGUGUUAAGUGCUCCGCCUGGGGAGUAUGGUCGCAAGGCUG